GUUGCUUCAUAAUGGUGAACUCUCUCAAUAUUAAAUGGGAGAAAUUCAAGUUUCCGGAGCAUAAAUUGAAUAUUUAUAUCGCCAGUAUUAAACAGCUCGAUGUGUAUACAAUCACAUCGACGUUACCUGUCUCCUGGCACAUUU